CUUUAGUAACUACCACGCAAAGGCUUCAUUGUUGCUUUAUUAAUCAACCAAAUUACUCCUUCAAUAAUUUCAAUUUACAGAGAAGCAUAAGUUACUUCAUACAGCAAAUUUCUAUGUUUCAUCAUUGAUUUAAAGAACAAUGGUUUUAAUUUCACCACCUUAGGUAUGGCAUGAUCGAUGAGAUAUAUGAAUCCAAUGCAACUGACAGAUUGCAAAUCUCAGAAUUACGGGAUAAUGUACGGCCCAUACAAAAUUGUACAUCACGUACCUCAUUUUCCAGAUUUUUUCAGAAGUUGGUAGAAAGUUGAAAAUUUGACAUCUCAUGUAUAGGAUACAUAUACGGGACGUACAUGGAAGUACGGCCCCAUACAUGUAGGGCGUACUUUGAGUCGGUGGCUUUUUAAGUGUUGCUUUAUAUUUCAUUUUUCACUCUUGGGUUCCAUUUUCUUCCAAAACAGACCCAAAUACACUCCCAAAACCUCUCUAUGAGUUCUUAUGCCAAAACCAAAGCAAAACUCAAGGGAAUUAAGUGAUUCAAGUGCUGAGAAGCUCACUACGGUUAGUAGAGUUCAAAUAUGUCUUGGUGUUGAAGUUGGAGGUUUCAUCCUAGUGGAGUAAUUUGAUCCAAAGCUUGUUCCUGCAUGAUUAAGGAUUGGCGUGCUAGUUGUAAUUAGCUCGAUUAUUGGAUAGCUUGGACGGAUUGAGGUCUUGAUAUAUAGGUUGACGGCUCUCCCAGUAGGAUGUAGGCUAAGCAGACAGUGUCGUUGCACUCCACUUGUUCCGGAGUUGCUUUGUGAGUCAGCAUGGUUACAUAUGCAUAUGCAUGGGUAUGGCGGGGCCAUGUCCCGACCACGUUAUGUCAUAUAUUCCAGUAGAGGCUUGUAGACAGUUAUGUACAGUCAGAUGUUGUACGACCUUGUUGGCUUGUACAAUAUGUCCAACUUAUUUAUGUAGUUAUCCUAUUUCAGUCUAUUACUCCUAUAAGUCAGCAGGCUAUCUCAUGGCGGCUCUAAUGGCCCACUUAUGCUUAAAAUUACGUUAUGGAUGUAUGUCUAGUGGUACUUGGCAAGUAAAGUCAGGUGCCCGUCAUGGCCCUCCAGUUUGGGUCGUGACAUUAUACCUCGUUGAAUUAUACCUCUUUAGUCUUACCAUUAUAAAGACUUGUGGAUUCAUAAUCAUUUCUCUAUCAAGAGCACAAUUUUGAACAUCAUGUUGUAUCACCUGGCAAAGAAAAUUUAUUUGGUAAAUGACUCUAUCUAUGUUCUCAUUUA